GCUGUGAUGGCCGAGUGGUGAAGGUGUUGGACUCGAAAUCCAAUAGGAUUUCCCUACGCAGGUUCAAAUCCUGCUCACAGCG